rnacentral:rRNA from 1 species
UACGUAGGGUGCGAGCGUUUAAUCGGAAUUACUGGGCGUAAAGCGUGCGCAGGCGGCGCGUUUUAAGACAGGUGUGAAAGCCCCCGAGCUUAACUUGGGAAUUGCGCUUUGUGACUGGCGUGCUGGAGUGUGGCAGAGGGAGGUGGAAUUCCACGUGUAGCAGUGAAAUGCGUAGAGAUGUGGAGGAACACCGAUGGCGAAGGCAGCCUCCUGGGGCCAGCACUGACGCUCAUGCACGAAAAGCGUGGGGGAGCAAAACAGG